GGGCAUUUGGCCGAGUGGUUAAGGCAGCCGUUUUGAAAACGGUAACACGAGUAGUGUCGUGGGUUCGAAUCCUACAAUGCCCG
rnacentral:tRNA from 5 species